rnacentral:rRNA from 1 species
UACGUAGGGACCGAGCGUUGUCCGGAUUCAUUGGGCGUAAAGAGCUCGUAGGCGGCUGUUCAAGUCGAACGUGAAAACUCGGAGCUCAACUCCGAGCCUGCGUUCGAUACUGGACGGCUAGAGUCUGGUAGGGGGAUCUGGAAUUCCUGGUGUAGCGGUGAAAUGCGCAGAUAUCAGGAGGAACACCAGCGGCGAAGGCGGCGCUCUGGGCCGGUACUGACGCUGAGGAGCGAAAGCGUGGGUAGCAAACAGG